rnacentral:rRNA from 1 species
AUGAACGCUGGCGGCGUGCCUAAUACAUGCCAGUCGAGCGAACAGAUGAGGAGCUUGCUCCUCUGACGUUAGCGGCGGACGGGUGAGUAACACGUGGAUAACCUACCUAUAAGACUGGGAUAACUUCGGGAAACCGGAGCUAAUACCGGAUAAUAUAUUGAACCGCAUGGUUCAAUAGUGAAAGACGGUUUUGCUGUCACUUAUACAUGGAUCCGCGCCGCAUUAGCUAGUUGGUAAGGUAACGGCUUACCAAGGCAACGAUGCGUAGCCGACCUGAGAGGGUGAUCGGCCACACUGGAACUGAGACACGGUCCAGACUCCUACGGGAGGCAGCAGUAGGGAAUCUUCCGCAAUGGGCGAAAGCCUGACGGAGCAACGCCGCGUGAGUGAUGAAGGUCUUCGGAUCGUAAAACUCUGUUAUUAGGGAAGAACAAAUGUGUAAGUAACUAUGCACGUCUUGACGGUACCUAAUCAGAAAGCCACGGCUAACUACGUG